AGAGUUUGAUCCUGGCUCAGGACGAACGCUGGCGGCGUGCCUAAUACAUGCAAGUCGAGCGGAUCUUCAUUAGCUUGCUUUUGAAGAUCAGCGGCGGACGGGUGAGUAACACGUGGGCAACCUGCCUGUAAGACUGGGAUAACUUCGGGAAACCGGAGCUAAUACCGGAUAAUCCUUUCCCUCACAUGAGGGAAAGCUGAAAGACGGUUUCGGCUGUCACUUACAGAUGGGCCCGCGGCGCAUUAGCUAGUUGGUGAGGUAACGGCUCACCAAGGCAACGAUGCGUAGCCGACCUGAGAGGGUGAUCGGCCACACUGGGACUGAGACACGGCCCAGACUCCUACGGGAGGCAGCAGUAGGGAAUCUUCCGCAAUGGACGAAAGUCUGACGGAGCAACGCCGCGUGAACGAUGAAGGCUUUCGGGUCGUAAAGUUCUGUUGUUAGGGAAGAACAAGUACCGGAGUAACUGCCGGUACCUUGACGGUACCUAACCAGAAAGCCACGGCUAACUACGUGCCAGCAGCCGCGGUAAUACGUAGGUGGCAAGCGUUGUCCGGAAUUAUUGGGCGUAAAGCGCGCGCAGGCGGUUCCUUAAGUCUGAUGUGAAAGCCCCCGGCUCAACCGGGGAGGGUCAUUGGAAACUGGGGAACUUGAGUGCAGAAGAGGAGAGCGGAAUUCCACGUGUAGCGGUGAAAUGCGUAGAGAUGUGGAGGAACACCAGUGGCGAAGGCGGCUCUCUGGUCUGUAACUGACGCUGAGGCGCGAAAGCGUGGGGAGCGAACAGGAUUAGAUACCCUGGUAGUCCACGCCGUAAACGAUGAGUGCUAAGUGUUAGAGGGUUUCCGCCCUUUAGUGCUGCAGCAAACGCAUUAAGCACUCCGCCUGGGGAGUACGGCCGCAAGGCUGAAACUCAAAGGAAUUGACGGGGGCCCGCACAAGCGGUGGAGCAUGUGGUUUAAUUCGAAGCAACGCGAAGACCCUUACCAGGUCUUGACAUCCUCUGACACCCUAGAGAUAGGGCGUUCCCCUUCGGGGACAGAGUGACAGUUG
rnacentral:rRNA from 1 species